UUAGGGGGGGGGAGCUGAGGGACGGCCUUGGCCCGGCCCACGCGCGCGUGCGUGUGAGUGCGGGCUUUGGGUUUUUGUGUGUGUGUGGCGGCUGACAUGAAACCCCGGGAGGCGAGAGGAGCUGGAAGAGCAUGGAGCGGAAGGAAGAGCCCACCGGAGCCACUGCCGCGCUCGCUGACGGUGACGAAAAGCGGCGGCGCGGAGGCCCGACGGGGCGGGCGGGCGCGCGGCGAAGGUCAGCGCAGCGCGGGUGUGGGGCGCAGUGACCGCACGGCGACUGCCGCACUGGCAGACUACCUAGAGAUGUGGUACUUAUACAGCCUCUUGGAAGGCAGUCCGUCAACACGUAAUCAGUUGAGCUUGAUACCACACAGUGGCAAGUUGGUGGUGCACUUGUCCUAAGACACACUGCCUCACCCACUUCUUUCUCUCACUUGUGUUUCUCUGGGAUUGGACUCCAUGACAAGGUAAGGGAACAGAAGACAUUGCCAGGCCAUGGUUGCUGGAGAAUCUAUGCUAAGACAGUGACCUAAUUAUAAACAAUCGUCCCUGAAGGGUUUGUUUGAAACAAGUUUAUUUUAUAAAUGUCAUAGUACAUAAUAUAAAUACUGUUAUGAUUGGCUAUAUAUGGGGGUCAUUUUAGAGUACCAGGAUGUAAAGUGGACAAAUAGAAUUUAAAUGAUCUCUACAAUAUCCCUUCUAAUUAGAAGAUGUGAUUGAAAUAUCAUUUGUUUACAUACAAUUAUUUCCAAGUUAGACAUUGAGGUUUUUGAUACACUUAAUUAAAAUGGACAUUUAAAUUAUAACUUUGAACAGUAUCCGCUUAAUCUUUGAGGAUGACCUUGGGGUAAUAGCUAGCUGGUAGAAUUUUGCCUAUUUUUGAAGUAAACAUUCCCUAAAUGUCUGUAAAACUUGUUACGAAUUAAAGACAUUAAAAUUUAUUAAUUCUAUGGUUUUACAAAAAUGUACGUUUUACAUAUACUUGUGAAAAUAUAAAUUUAUAGAAUAAGAGUACUAUUUUCUAUAAAAUAGAAAACUUCUGUUUAAAUGCAAAAAUGUAAAUGAUUUGGGCAGAAGAUAACUCCUAUCUGUCAGAGAAAAUAUAAUUCAAAUAAAAACAUGUAUAGGCCGGCA
rnacentral:lncRNA from 1 species